CCUACGGGGGGCUGCAGUGGGGAAUAUUGGACAAUGGGGGCAACCCUGAUCCAGCCAUGCCGCGUGUGUGAAGAAGGCCCUCGGGUUGUAAAGCACUUUCAGUGAGGAAGAACGCCUGGUGGUUAAUACCCAUCAGGAAAGACAUCACUCACAGAAGAAGCACCGGCUAACUCCGUGCCAGCAGCCGCGGUAAUACGGAGGGUGCGAGCGUUAAUCGGAAUUACUGGGCGUAAAGCGCGCGUAGGUGGCUUGAUAAGCCGGUUGUGAAAGCCCCGGGCUCAACCUGGGAACGGCAUCCGGAACUGUCAAGCUAGAGUGCAGGAGAGGAAGGUAGAAUUCCCGGUUUAGCGGUGAAAUGCGUAGAGAUCGGGAGGAAUACCAGUGGCGAAGGCGGCCUUCUGCACUGACACUGACACUGAGGUGCGAGAGCGUGGGUAGCAAACAGGAUUAGAUACCCGUGUAGUC
rnacentral:rRNA from 1 species